ensembl:lncRNA
GUUAAUACCAACACAAACGAGUAUACAUUUCUACGAAGCGGAGGACUCGACCUUCUUGUCCACCCGGCAACUAUCAAUAAAAAAAAGAUUAACCCGGGUACUUAAUCUUGUCUCGGGCACCGAGGCUACCGAUUUGUCCACCCCAUGCUCUAUAUUUUUGAUAUUAAUCUUCUUAGAUUUCGAAGCUGUUCACCUACAGUAUGCGAAACACUCGCGGAUGGACAUCGGUGACGUCUAACAAUCGGCGUAAUCGCAGGGUUAAACGUCAAGGGCGAAAGACUGUUCACAUUUCCUUCACGUGCCUCCGUGUGCUACGCCAUACGUCCAUACGGUAUGACUGACUUCUGCGUUCGCGCUCGCACAGCUUUAGCAUGGUGCCGUGUCGAGAAGCACAAUCAAGUCAAUGAACGGACUCGGAGGAGUACUCCAGGUUUACAACAGAUAAGAUCUACACGUUUCCUUGGGCUUGCUCACAGAACGCUCUUACAUAUAACGAUAGCAUAAAGGACGCUCGUUCGACAGUUAUACCGUAUAAGACGUCGUCUUCUGGAGUUUUAUCCGGCUUUCAGUACUAAUCACCGUCAGAUCCACCGUCGAAGCUCCGUCACGGUUUGAGUAACUGACUGACUGCAGAGAGUCGGAAAUAUUUGGAAUAGUUUUUAAUAUCCGGACUUCGAUCGGUGAACGUGUGUUUUUUUUUUGUUUUUUUUCAGUACAGAGAAACGUAUCGACGUUCCCGUGACGUUCUUUACCGCUACGGAUGGGAUAGAUAAAGACGAGGUCGGACAAACGUGGCGUAUUCCUUCGAUUCCAAACAAAAAAUCCUACAUGCUGUUACACCGUGAUCGUCGUUUGCACUUACCUUAAACUGCUUUCACACUUUUAUUCAUGUUUUUUUUUUUUUAAAACCACCAGUGCACAUAUUACAUGUAACCCUACAGUAUGUUAAGCAGUCUCUUUCUUUAAAAGCACAGUGGAGCCUUCUUGGCUGUGUCGGGCUUCGAUCUCAUGACCUUACGGUAGCCACCGCUGCCACUUUUUUGACCAAUCGGGUCACAGGAUGGAGGGCACAUGAGGAAAAACGAACACGGAGUACGAAGCUCCGGGCUUAUUAGGGAGCGAAUAUGUCGGAUGAGAAGAUUUCCAGCGUUUGAGUGUAAUAAUAAAAAGAAAACGAUACGUCGCACAAGCAGCUCGAACGCUCUUGAUUUUCCUCCUCCGCGUUUAAAACAAAGGCAGACGACCUCCUCGUGGCCAGGCCUGCACCGCUCUUUAUUUCAUCUGCAUUAUUAAGACGAGAACAAAACCUAAGGCUGGUUCGAGAGCCGAUACUAGCCACGGUGCGUACGCCAUGUCUCAUACCGCUUUUAAAACGGAGCAUGAGCGCACCACGAAAUGUUAACAAGCGCUUCUUCCAGUUUUUUUUGUGUUUUGUUUUGUUUCCCCCCCCCCCAGGUAUUUCAGAUCAGUUGGACGUAGCCGUUAGGGACCAGCGUUCGAGAUAAUAAACCGCACAAUCAACCAUGAUACGCAAUCUCACGCUCAUUGUGUAGGUGAUUUCCUUCAGGAUUGGACUCAUUUUAUUCCCCGGACAAGUAUGUAUCGUGUUGGACUCGUGCCGUUAGUGUCUAGCGCUGAAUAAUAAUCACAAUAAACACGUAGUCGGCCAUGAAAGUGUUCAUCAGCCUCCAUUAUGCUGUAUUUAUGAAACGGAAAUGACCUUGUGGUGGUGUUUUCACACGGCGUCCUCCUGUUCCACCUUCAUCUUAUUACUGUUCCUCUUCCUGUAUUUUCAAAUUCUGUAAAAGGUAUGUUCGUG